rnacentral:ncRNA from 1 species
GGAUCGGGCGGAACCGGUGGGCCGGUAUCCGAGAAUAGAUCCGAAUUGCUUUGUUUUGCGAUACGCCCUUGUUGCCCAGCUUGGACGUA